CCUACGGGAGGCAGCAGUAGGGAAUCUUCCACAAUGGGCGAAAGCCUGAUGGAGCAACGCCGCGUGGGUGAAGAAGGUCUUCGGAUCGUAAAACCCUGUUGUUAGAGAAGAAAGUGCGUGAGAGUAACUGUUCACGUGUCGACGGUAUCUAACCAGAAAGCCACGGCUAACUACGUGCCAGCAGCCGCGGUAAUACGUAGGUGGCAAGCGUUAUCCGGAUUUAUUGGGCGUAAAGGGAACGCAGGCGGUCUUUUAAGUCUGAUGUGAAAGCCUUCGGCUUAACCGGAGUAGUGCAUUGGAAACUGGGAGACUUGAGUGCAGAAGCGGAGAGUGGAACUCCAUGUGUAGCGGUGAAAUGCGUAGAUAUAUGGAAGAACACCAGUGGCGAAAGCGGCUCUCUGGUCUGUAACUGACGCUGAGGUUCGAAAGCGUGGGUAGCAAACAGGAUUAGAUACCCCAGUAGUC
rnacentral:rRNA from 1 species